rnacentral:rRNA from 1 species
UGAGCCCUAGCAGUAUCCUGAGUACGGCGAGACACGUGAAAUCUCGUUGGAAUCUGGGAGGACCAUCUCCCAACCCUAAAUACUCUCUAGUGACCGAUAGUGAACCAGUACCGUGAGGGAAAGGUGAAAAGCACCCCGGGAGGGGAGUGAAAUAGAACCUGAAACCGUGUGCCUACAACAAGUUCGAGCCCGUUAAUGGGUGAGAGCGUGCCUUUUGUAGAAUGAACCGGCGAGUUACGAUAUGAUGCGAGGUUAAGUUGAAGAGACGGAGCCGUAGGGAAACCGAGUCUUAAUAGGGCGAUUUAGUAUCAUGUUGUAGACCCGAAACCAUGUGACCUACCCAUGAGCAGGUUGAAGGUGAGGUAAAACUCACUGGAGGACCGAACCAGGGCACGUUGAAAAGUGCUUGGAUGACUUGUGGGUAGCGGAGAAAUUCCAAACGAACUUGGAGAUAGCUGGUUCUCUCCGAAAUAGCUUUAGGGCUAGCGUCGAUGUUAAGUCUCUUGGAGGUAGAGCACUGUUUGGGUGAGGGGUCCAUCUCGGAUUACCAAUCUCAGAUAAACUCCGAAUGCCAACGAGAUAUCAUCGGCAGUCAGACUGCGAGUGCUAAGAUCCGUAGUCGAAAGGGAAACAGCCCAGACCACCAGCUAAGGUCCCAAAAUAACUGUUAAGUGGAAAAGGAUGUGGGGUUGCACAGACAACUAGGAUGUUAGCUUAGAAGCAGCUAUUCAUUCAAAGAGUGCGUAAUAGCUCACUAGUCGAGUGACCCUGCGCCGAAAAUGUACCGGGGCUAAAACAGUUUACCGAAGCUGUGGAUGACACAAAAGUGUCAUGGUAGGAGAGCGUUCUAUGUGUGAAGAAGGUGUACCGUGAGGAGCGCUGGAACGCAUAGAAGUGAGAAUGCCGGUAUGAGUAGCGAAAGACAGGUGAGAAUCCUGUCCACCGUAAGACUAAGGUUUCCAGGGGAAGGCUCGUCCGCCCUGGGUUAGUCGGGACCUAAGGAGAGACCGAAAGGUGUAUCCGAUGGCCAACAGGUUGAUAUUCCUGUACUAGAGUAUAUAGUGAUGGAGGGACGCAGUAGGCUAACUAAACCGGACGAUUGGAAGAGUCCGGCUAAGCAGUGAGGUGUAAGAUGAGUCAAAUGCUUAUCUUUAUAACAUUGAGCUGUGAUGGGGAGCGAAUUUUAGUAGCGAAGUUAGUGAUGUCACACUGCCAAGAAAAGCUUCUAGCGUUUAAUGAUACUCUACCCGUACCGCAAACCGACACAGGUAGUCGAGGCGAGUAGCCUCAGGUGAUCGAGAGAACUCUCGUUAAGGAACUCGGCAAAAUGACCCCGUAACUUCGGGAGAAGGGGUGCUGACUUAGGUCAGCCGCAGUGAAUAGGCCCAAGCAACUGUUUAUCAAAAACACAGCUCUCUGCUAAAUCGUAAGAUGAUGUAUAGGGGGUGACGCCUGCCCGGUGCUGGAAGGUUAAGAGGAGGGUUUAGCGCAAGCGAAGAUCUGAAUUGAAGCCCCAGUAAACGGCGGCCGUAACUAUAACGGUCCUAAGGUAGCGAAAUUCCUUGUCGGGUAAGUUCCGACCCGCACGAAAGGCGUAAUGAUUUGGGCACUGUCUCAACGAGAGACUCGGUGAAAUUUUAGUACCUGUGAAGAUGCAGGUUACCCGCGACAGGACGGAAAGACCCCAUGGAGCUUUACUGCAGUUUGAUAUUGAGUAUCUGUACCACAUGUACAGGAUAGGUAGGAGCCAUUGACUUCGGGACGCCAGUUUCGAAUGAGGCGCUGUUGGGAUACUACCCUUGUGUUAUGGCUACUCUAACCCAGAUAGGUUAUCCCUAUCGGAGACAGUGUCUGACGGGCAGUUUGACUGGGGCGGUCGCCUCCUAAAGAGUAACGGAGGCGCCCAAAGGUUCCCUCAGAUUGGUUGGAAAUCAAUCGCAGAGUGUAAAGGUAUAAGGGAGCUUGACUGCGAGAGCUACAACUCGAGCAGGGACGAAAGUCGGGCUUAGUGAUCCGGUGGUACCGAAUGGAAGGGCCAUCGCUCAACGGAUAAAAGCUACCCUGGGGAUAACAGGCUUAUCUCCCCCAAGAGUUCACAUCGACGGGGAGGUUUGGCACCUCGAUGUCGGCUCGUCGCAUCCUGGGGCUGUAGUCGGUCCCAAGGGUUGGGCUGUUCGCCCAUUAAAGCGGCACGCGAGCUGGGUUCAGAACGUCGUGAGACAGUUCGGUCCCUAUCCGUCGCGGGCGUAGGAAAUUUGAGAGGAUCUGCUCCUAGUACGAGAGGACCAGAGUGGACUUACCGCUGGUGUACCAGUUGUCUUGCCAAAGGCAUCGCUGGGUAGCUAUGUAGGGAAGGGAUAAGCGCUGAAAGCAUCUAAGUGCGAAGCCCCCCUCAAGAUGAGAUUUCCCAUGAUUUUAUAUCAGUAAGAGCCCUGAGAGAUGAUCAGGUAGAUAGGUUAGGAGUGUAAGUGUAGCGAUACAUGUAGCGGACUAAUACUAAUAGCUCGAGGACUUAUCCAA